rfam:Prunus persica cultivar Lovell chromosome G2, whole genome shotgun sequence.
AGGGUUAAGGUUGAAAGGGGUUUAACACACAUAAUCAUAUGUGACAGCUGUUAAAAGUCUUAUAUAGUUUUGCUAGUAACUUUCUCUUCAAUGGGGGCCCUGUGUUUGAUUAGGUAGUUGGUAUGGCAAAGCUAACUAAUACAAUUAGAAAGAUCAACCACAUUAAUUGAGACACAACCCAUACUCCUACUGAAGGCGAUAGUGGGGAAUUCUCUACAAUGGGAGAAAGUCCGACAAAGCAAUGCCGCAUGGAGGUAGAAGAGGCAACAAAAGCAUCGGCUUUCUUUGUGCUAGCAGCUGCGGUAAAACAGAGGAUGCAAGCAUUAUCU